UGUUCUGUGGAAACGGGGUGUGACACUAAUGCACCGGAUCCCAUCAGAACUCCGUAGUUAAGUGUGCUUGGACAAGAGUGGAAUUAAGAUGGGCUUUGUUACAGGACUU
rnacentral:rRNA from 1 species